AGCAUUCUUUUCCUUGGAGUUUUCGGUGAUUGAAGACUCAUCUCUACCGGCUGCUCAUCAUCAGGUUAGAGUUAUUUUGCGAUCCUACUAGGUCCUUGUUGCUCAUGUACUCUGUGGUUUUAUUUUUCAGGUGACGAGUAAGCUUAGGAUCAAGGGUACUUGGGUUUAUUUUUUGUAUUUGUCUUCUUUUAGUAACUGAACUUUGAGGUUGUAUACCUUGUAGUCGUUAUUUGUUGAGUGAGAUUUGUAUUGUUUGUAUUUUGGUCUCAAAUUGUUAAGUGUGGCACUUUGUAUUUCUGUAGGGCUACUGAAGCCCAUAUUUGUAUUAUAUCUGUUGCUAUUAUUUUGUUUGUA